rnacentral:lncRNA from 1 species
UAGGAGGGUAUUUUGGUUAUUUUAAAUUAAAAAAUGGUGAAAAUAGGUUUUCUGUAAUGAAAAGUUGGAAUAAGGACGAAAAUGCAAAAAAGGACCUCGCUGCACGAACAGAAUUGAACCUACAGAAUGUGAACCGAAUGACGUGGCAGAUGGAAAAUAUUUAAGGCAAAAAAAAAAGAGAAAAACGCAAACACUCUCUUCACCGUCCCAAUUCAUUCCCGUUUCCCUCUCCAUUCGAAAAUUGGGAACCCUAGAAAUCAUCCCCUUCAUCCCGGCGUCGCCAUCAUUUUCAUCUUCCCGGCGAGUUGAAAUGGGUACAGAUAUUCGAACGUCGAAUAGAGAGUGAUAUCGUCUCCUUGGACUUCACCACCGUACCCUGCACACGGUGAAAUCGCCUCCUUCAUCUUCACCACCGUACGCCGCACCCUUCUCCACCAUCGGGCGUCGAGUCAGCCCUGAACAUCAAGGUAUCUUCACCUUCGUUACGUGGGUUGUCUUAUGAAUUUUACCCCAAAUUUGUCGGCUUUAAAUAUUUGGGCUUCCUCCAAAACGGCAUAAUUUUCUCCAAAAUUGUGAAAAUUGUAAGCUUUCAGUGAAGUCAGUUUCCUUCCAAACUGUCAGUGAAAGAACUUGUGAAAAAACUAAAAUUAAGUUUGAUCGAAAAACUAAUUUUCCUCACCUUUGUUCACAGACGCCACAGUCAACUCCACUAGCAGCAUUCGACUAGCCCGCAUCAGCCGUAAGUGAGGUUAGUUUCUUCCGAAUCUUAUUCAGUUUUUACUUUCCCAUUCCCUGUGAAUUGUUGUGAGAUGCUGGUAUUAUUUGUGACAAUUAACUGCAUAUGCUAUUUGUGUUUAUUACCGUCCAGGAUGAGACGGAAGAACGUGGGUGUUUGUCACGGUUGUCGAAGUACACAGCACUUCUUCAAUGACUGUCCGGUAAAACGACGAUGUCCAUGGUGCUCACUGGGAUGGGAGAAAUGCUUUGAAGUUGAAAGGAAGACAGAUAAUCGAGGACGAUUAUUCAAAACGUGCAGUAAUAAUUGUGGAUAUUUCUUUUGGGUCGAGAAUGAAGAAUUCUGUGGUGAAAGUAGUACAAGGACUGAAGCGGUCAUAGAUGAAGUGGGCGAAGAUUUGGCAGCCAUGUUCGAUAGUCUAGCUCAAAUAGCAGAAAAACGAGACGUCGAGAUAACGUUGAAUGUGACUUUCCGCAAGGCAAAGGGAAGUGCGGAAGUGAAUGGAAAGGGAAAGGGCCGAGCUUGAUAAGUAGCAGGAGAAUGUUAUGGCUUGUUUUUGUGUGUGUGUCGGCUGUAGAAUAAAGACCAUUGGGGGCUAAGUGGUAGUGUAGAUGUUGAAGGCUUCAUUUUGUAUCUUGAAAGCCUGAAUCAAGUAUGAUUUACUUGUUGUAUGGAAGCCUUGGAACUUCCUGUUAUUCAAAGAUGUAGUUGUUAUGGGGAAACUUAUGUAAACCAUGUUGAAG